rnacentral:sRNA from 1 species
ACAUAUGAUCAUUAUUUUACUUCCCCAAAUUCCUUUGCAGAUGAGACAAACAGAUCGGGAUGUAAUAACAGCAUUAACUCACAGACCUUGGAGCCUAAGCCAUACAGGAGAUGGGAAACCACGCUAUGAUACUUUCUGGAAACAUUUUAUAUUUGUUAUGAUGGACAUUUUGCUCGAUUGGAGCAUGCAUAAUAUCUUGUGGUACCUGUGUGGAAUUUCAGCUUUCCUCAUGCAAAAGGAUUUUGUAUCCCCGGCCUACUUGAAGAAGUGGUCAGCUAAAGGAAUCCAGGUUGUUGGUUGGACUGUUAAUACCUUUGAUGAAAAGAGUUACUACGAAUCCCAUCUUGGUUCCAGCUAUAUCACUGACAGCAUGGUAGAAGACUGCGAACCUCACUUCUAGACUUUCACGGUGGGACGAAACGGGUUCAGAAACUGCCAGGGGCCUCAUACAGGGAUAUCAAAAUACCCUUUGUGCUAGCCCAGGCCCUGGGGAAUCAGGUGACUCACACAAAUGCAAUAGUUGGUCAUUGCAUUUUUACCUGAACCAAAGCUAAACCCGGUGUUGCCACCAUGCACCAUGGCAUGCCAGAGUUCAACACUGUUGCUCUUGAAAAUCUGGUUCUGAAAAAACGCACAAGAGCCCCUGCCCUGCCCUAGCUGAGGCACACAGGGAGACCCAGUAAGGAUAAGCACAGAUUGAAUUGUACAAUUUGCAGAUGCAGAUGUAAAUGCAUGGGACAUGCAUGAUAACUCAGAGUUGACAUUUUAA